rnacentral:misc_RNA from 1 species
UCCUCGUUUAAUUCGAAGCAACGCGCAGAACCUUACCAACCCUUGACAUGUCCCGUAUGGGUCCUGGAGACGGGAUCCUUCAGUUCGGCUGGCGGGAACACAGGUGCUGCAUGGCUGUCGUCAGCUCGUGUCGUGAGAUGUUGGGUUAAGUCCCGCAACGAGCGCAACCCUCGCCUUUAGUUGCCAGCAUUGAGUUGGGCACUCUAGAGGGACUGCCGGUGAUAAGCCGGAGGAAGGUGGGGAUGACGUACCACGCAAUAACA